AUGUUUUGUUCGUGGAAGAGGCUUAGUCAACGAGUCUGCAACAUUCAGAUCCAUAUGUAUUUUGCAAAUCUCUAUGUCUCCCUCCUUGACUUGAUCACGGAUGGAAUUGAAGCGUCUCUUGAUGUGUUUGGUUCUCUUGUGAAAUCUGGAUUCCUUCGCCAAGGCUAUUGCUCCAGUAUUGUCACAAAAAAAAUCAUUGGACUCGAUGCACUAGGUAUUACUACUAGAUCGGAUAUGAACUCCUUCAUCCAGACUCCUUCAUUUGCUGCUUUCGAAGUAGCUAUGUACUCCGCUUCACACGUAGAUCCUGCCACGAUGCUCUGCUUGGAACUGCACCAACUGACAGCUCCACCAUUCAAUAUAAAUACGUAUCUGGUUUGUGACUUAGAGUCAUCCGGAUCAGUGUCAAAGCUUGCAUCGACGUAA
rnacentral:rRNA from 1 species